rnacentral:rRNA from 1 species
AAUCAACGCUGGCGGCGUGCCUCAGACAUGCAAGUCGAACGCGAAAGUUUCCUUCGGGAAGCGAGUAGAGUGGCGCACGGGUGAGUAACACGUAAGUAAUCUACCCUUGGGUGGGGAAUAACAUCGGGAAACCGAUGCUAAUACCGCAUAAUGCAGCGGCUUCAUAUGAAGACAGUUGUUAAAGCAUUUAUGUGCCUGAGGAGGAGCUUGCGGCAGAUUAGCUAGUUGGUAAGGUAAUGGCUUACCAAGGCGACGAUCUGUAGCCGACCUGAGAGGGUGGUCGGUCACACUGACACUGAA